rnacentral:rRNA from 1 species
AUGGGAACGCGAAGAACCUUACCUAGACUUGACAUCUCCUGAAUAGUGUAGAGAUACAUGAAGCCCUUCGGGGCAGGAAGACAGGUGGUGCAUGGUUGUCGUCAGCUCGUGUCGUGAGAUGUUGGGUUAAGUCCCGCAACGAGCGCAACCCUUAUUACUAGUUGCUACCAUUAAGUUGAGCACUCUAGUGAGACUGCCCGGGGUUAACCGGGAGGAAGGCGGGGAUGACGUCAAAUCAUCAUGCCCCUUAUGUCUAGGGCAACACACGUGCUACAAUGGUGAGUACAGAUAGAUGCGAUACCGCAAGGUGGAGCCAAAACUCUAAAAACUCAUCCCAGUUCGGAUUGUAGGCUGCAACUCGCCUACAUGAAGUUGGAGUUGCUAGUAAUCGCGAAUCAGAAUGUCGCGGUGAAUACGUUCCCGGGUCUUGUACACACCG